CUCAUACCUCAGCCUCCCAAAGUGCUGGGAUUACAGGCGUGAGCCACUGCACCCAACCUGUAGUUGGUUUUAAGGGGCAUGUGUUAAUCACUUCAUGCAUGAAACAUCCAAUUUGGAGAGUCAGAGACAAAAAUUUCCCUCUUGGGAUCAGAUGAUCCCAAUACUGAGAGGGACCUCAGAGGUCAUGGAGUGCCACCCACCUAGAUGCCAGGGUCCUUCAGCUCUGCUCUGACAGGCAGCUGCCAAGCCUGGUCUUAUAGACUCACAGCUGCAAAAAACUGGCCAACUACUGAGGGUUCCUACCUUCACUGUAGGGAAGAGAUGAGAGGAGCAGACAGGGAAGACAGAAGGAGGCCAUGGCUCUCCUGAGCUCCUUGUAGUCCUCCAAGUCUCUCACGUGCACACACAGGGGCCUCUCCAAUGCCAGGCCUGAAAGGCUGCCAGCUCAUCCAGGCCCAGCUGGGGAAUCUGGCCUUUUUCCGGUCUAAAGUUACAGAAUUUUCCAAAAGUUUCCCUGGGUUUUUUUCUGGACUUAUAAACCAGAUUUCCCAUGUCCCCCACAAGAGAAAGAAAGCAGGAAGGGCCUGUGAUCCCAGCCAAGACUUGCUUCUGCCUUUCCUUCCUGCUUUUCCUUCCCACACAAGACCCAGGAACCAAUAGUAACAGUAAUUUCAAUAUUCAGCCUUUGUUGCCCAUGCAGAGCCUCUUAAAUGGAUUAGCUUAGCUUAUGUGAAGCUCCUAGUGAUAGCUUUGUGGGCAAUAUACCAUUCUUUCUAAUUUUCAUUUCCAUUUUACAGUCCAGAGGGGUCAAUUGAUUUCUUGAGGUCACAGCAGAAGUAGGUUUUGACCCAAGUUUUUCUAACUUUGGAGCCCUUGCUCUUAACCUGUGUUUCCCCAAGAGGUCCCAGUUUUCCUCUCCUCAUUCUUCCCAGGUCCAAACUGUAGGUGGGCAGCCUGAAAAGAGGGGUGUGUUGUGUGCUUGGAACAGGAAGGAGCAUCUUGUCAUGGCAGGACGAGUCAAGUAGCUUCUGUUUUUAUUCUGCCGCUGGGCAGCUGUGUUGCAAUCUCUCUGGAUCUCCGUGUCCUUGCCUGUAAUCUGAGUGGAUGAGACAAGUCUAUGUUCUCAGUCUCUAGGUAAGAUAAUCUCUGAGACCCUUUCUAGUUCCAGGACCCUGGGUCUGAGUAGGCUGAGAUUACUUAUUUGGGAGAGAUAACAUAUUCAGCCCCUUGCUUGGAACCCACAAAUUCAGCAUCUCAGAGAAGGGCAGUGUCGUGACUCAAUAUUUGGAUUCAACUUAGGAAUCCUGACUGCCCUUGGAGGUGAAGCCUCUACAAGGGACCUGGCUGUGGGGCCCUGACCCUUCUGCCCAGCGCCUGUGAAUGGCCGCAGUGUGCAGUGAUGGUGUUGGCAGGGUUGGUUUCUCCUGACGCCUCCCUCCUUGGCUUGUAGAUGAGUUUAGGGAGACAGCUCAGUACACAGCACAGCAGCCAUUGCUGAGGGGGAUACUUUAGUGCCACAAAGAGCAGCUUACAUUGAGCACUUCCAGUGAGCCAGGCAUGGCGCUGUGCGCUCUACCUCUGCAACCUCAGGAAGCCCCUGCACUGGUUCCAUGAAGGAGCUAUUUUAGAGAUGAGGAAGUCAAGCUGUGCCAGUUGCCUGCGGACAUGCGGCUGGAAAGUGAGGAGCAGAUGUGCACACAGCCUUACCCACCGUGCCGUGGUGCCGCCUAAGGAGAGAGGAGGCAGGGCUCAGGGCCCGUUAGUCUGUUUUUCCGGAGUCCUGACAGGCAUGAGGAACAGCCCUUUCUAUGCUAUUGGGACUACAGUUUGGGAGAGACACAGGAAAGGAAAAGCAAAGAAACAGGAUCCACAUGUCCCCAUUACAUGUGAAGACUGGAGUUCCAAGCUGGACACGUAGUGGCCUUGACUUGGGAGUUGCCAGUGGCCAGUGCCUGAAUGUGGGGAGCCUCCCAGGCUGGCUUAGGAGUUGCCCUGAGGAUGGGGGAAGGUGGACACAGGCGUUCCCCGAGCUGGGCUGUCCACCAAAGAUGGAGCUAAAGACCAAGGACUCGGGGAGUGAAUGACCUGGCAAACACCCCCAGCCAAGGCCCCUGGAAGGUGCCAGGGAAGGCACAGCAUCGUCAGUGGCUUCUCAGGACCCUGUGACAGCUCCUGAAGGGCCAUCAAUUCUUGAGGAGUGUGGGGUAGUUUGAAGGUACUGGCAUGCAGCCAGGGCUCUUCAGUUCUUUGUUUGGGGGCCAGAAGCCCAGGAUCCUGGGGCUAAGGGAACCCCCCCAGAUCCCUAAAAUGGGGGUCUGGGGUAGGGAAGGGUGGGGUCGUCAUGUCAAAAGUUCUUUUCUACUCAUCCUCCUAAGCACCAGCGUCACUCAUCCUGGGCGAUUUAGCUGCCAUUAGCAGCUGCUGUUUGGUGCGGAGCAAAGGGAAGGGAAGGUCAGGGUAGGAAGGAGAGCAGAGGGGACACCAUGGGCUUUGUUCCCCAAUGCCCACUCCUGGGGGGGGGGCAGGGACGGCAGGGGCCCCACACCCUGUCUGGCAGGCAGUCCUGUGUCUGAGGCAGGGGAUCAAGUUGUCCUCACCUCCCCUAGCAUGAGCGAGGCCUGGGGAGCUGUGACAAGAGCUGUCAGUGCUGGUGUCCUCUCGCAGCAAUUGCUGCAAAGGCCAGCAGCUCCAGAGUUCUGGGAAAGACUGGACAAGAGAGCAGGGUCUAGGGCCGCUGUGGGGAGUGGGGCAGAUGGGAAUGGGACACCUUGGCGUGCACCUGAUCAGUGGUGGUCACACACUGCCUCCUGUUGGAGGGGCUCUGUCCCCGUGCUGUUUCCCUGGCCCAGAUGCUGUGCAACUCGGGGGCCAGGGCCACACUGAGCAGCACACCGUGUGUUGGCCUCCAGCACCUGCUCAGGGCCAGGUACUAGGUGCCCCAGAAAGCUCAUCCUGGAGGGGGUGGAACUUCAAGGUGAAGCACGUGACACACAUAUCUUGGCAUUGGUCUGCUGCCUGCUCUCCUGUCUUCUAUAGCUGGGCCCCAGAGAAACAGAAAGCACCUUAGACCUGGCCUUCCCUGGCCCCCAAGUCCUCCUGGGCCAUAUGGCCUGGAAACCCUAUCCAAGCGGGGCCCUUACUGGGGCUGAGUUUCUGUCUGGCAAGGAAGUUCUGGAGACCAGGAUUCUAGACUCUGGAUGCCUGCUCAGCUCACUCUAAAACCCUUAGGUCAGGUAACUGCAGUGGCAUGGUGGGGCCCGGUGACAGCUGUGGCACCUGCGAACAGCCGUCUCUCCCAGGCGUGCUGACUUGUUAGCUGUAUGUGGGCACUAUCUAUCUCAGCAGUAAAACACCACUUCUGGAACUGUUCUCUGCUUCCUCUAAUUGCCUCAUUAUUUUCUAAAGAAAAGCCCCCAUCACCAGUUCACCACUCCUGCCCCUUCCCUCAGGCCUGUCCUGAAAUCAGUCAACUGGGCUCCAGGCCAGGCUUGGGAUGCUGUGGAAGGGGCAUCCCUUGAAAAGGGUGAAGCUCCAUGUGCACCUGGCAGCUGGAGCUCAGGGUCCUGUAAGUGCCUCGGAGAACUCAGGGUGUCCCUUGGGAUUCAGCGAAACUUGGACAUCUCCUCCUGUCAGUGCCCAACAUGGUCUGAAACUAGGGGGACAUAAAAGGAGCAGAAAAUACAGUUCCUGCACCCAACGGCCUACAGACUAGUUGGAAAGACAAAAAAGGGAGAACCGAUCAGGUGGGUGUGGCCUACAAUGCUGGCUGCAUCCCAUGUGUCACCCACUGUCCUGUCAGCCUACCCCUGUGAGCUCCGGCACAGUGCUGGGCAGGAUGGGUGCCAAGAUGGAGCCACAGCCCUUCCUGUAGCACCUGACAAGCGAGUCCGUGCUUCAGCCACGUCAUAGGAGAGGCACGAGGGCUAGGAGACCACUAAGGAAGUGCAGACACAGGCUGGGGGUGAGGGACUUAAGGGAGGUGUAAAAGUGUCCAGGUGGAGAGAAGGGCAAGGUGCCCCAGAAGAAAGGGCAGCAUGGUCUACAGAUGGGUCUGCAAGUAGAUUGGUGUUCCUGCAGUGUGGAGUCAGGGCAGGGACACAGCAGGAGAGGCAGGAAGGACCUGGCAGGCCAGGCUGGGGAGCUUAGACUCUGACCUGCAGGGGAGGGAGUGCGAGAGGGCAAAGGUCAGGGAGGGGAGGGGCCAGAGCAGGCGGAUGGGGGUCAGAGCUGUGGGACACUGGAGGCCUUAGUCCCCUUGAUAAAGCUCUCAGCUGGUGGCUAAAGAACCAGUCUUCAAGCAGCAGGCACGUUACCUCUGUCAGAACACCCAGAUCUUCCCAUCUUCUGUCUUCUUGACUCCAAGGCCUCCACUGAGCCCAGCCGUGUCCCAUGCAGGCCUGGAAGGAGCCUGGGAGGGCCUGUUUGGCUGGAGGAGGUGGAGGUGGCCUGGGAGGAAGAGGAAGAACCUUCCAGGCAGAAGAAAUGACUCCUGAGAAGGCCCCAAGAAGGAAGGGGCAUGGACUUGGUCUCUUGCCUUUUGUUGGGGACCUCUGAACAUAAAACAAUCCUUGGAACCAACAGGCCCUUGGUAGUUCCUCUCAUCCACUGCCUUGUCCUUAGGGAGUACUUGGUCUACAUUGUUCUUGUCAUAAGAGAAACUUUCCUGUGUUUGAAGCAUAUUAAAGAAGAAAAUCCUACAACUUCA